rnacentral:lncRNA from 1 species
AAAUAAACAAUAAAAACAAAGAGCUAGGGAUAUUGUUCAGUGGUAGCGUGCCCCUGGAUUUACUAACACAAAAGGAAAAUAAGUAAAUAAAUACAUACACACACAUACAUAUAUAUAUAUAUAUAUACAUUUAACAUAUAUUUAAUACAUAUAUUAAUAUAUAUAUAUUUAACAUAUAUAUAUAUAUAUAAUUUGGUCAAAAUUCCACAUACACACUUUGUUUGUAGCACUGGGAACUGGAUCCAGGGACACUUUGUAUCUGAUAUAAAUCCCCAGCCCUUUUUAAAUUUUAUUUAAGACCGGACUUUACUAAGUUGCACAGGCUGGCCUUGAACUUGAGAUCUUCCUGCCUUAGCCUGUGAGUAGCUGGUACUACACAUGUGCUACUAUGCCCAGCCACAUACCUAUAUUUGUAUGGGUCAGAAAGAGCCUGAAAAGACACAUGCUCAACUUUUAACAGUAGCCAGACCACAUUAGGGCAGGUAGACACUUUUCCUUACCUUAUUAUUUUUUUUUUUUAAUUUUUUAGUUGUACACAAUAUCUUUAUUUUGUUUAUUUUUAUGUGGUCUGAGGAUUGAACCCAGGGCCUCGCACAUGCUAGGCAAGCGCUCUACCACUGAGCCACAAUCCCAGCCCAUCCUUACCUUAUUAUUGAAUAUUAUGUUGUGAGAGAGCCUUGCCUUUGAUAUAAUUAAAUAAAAUGCAACUAGGAUUUGUUUUUGUGUUUUUUUGUUUGGUUUGGUUUGAUCUCGGUACCAGGGAUUGAACUCAGGGGCACUCAACCACUGAGCCACAUCCCCUACUCUAUUUUAUAUUUUAUUUAUUUAGAGAUAGGGUUUCACCAAGUUGCUUAGUGCCUAGUUUUUGUUGUGGCUGGCUUUGAACUUAUGAUCCUCCUACCUCAGCCUCCUGCGCUGCUGGGAUUACAGGCUUGGGCCACCAUGCCCAGCUUGGGAUUUGUUUUAAAAGUUAAAAAAAAAAAAAAAAAAAAAAGUUAGCCUUAAUAAUUAUGUAUAUAAGCUUGUAUUUUACAUAAAAUCUAAGAACUUCACAAUUAAAAUAACUCCCAAUCAUCAUUAACAAAGUGACUAUAACCUCAGCUACUUAUGGCUUUAAAUGGGAGUUUAUUUAUUUAUUUUGUAUCUUUUGGUGGCAGAAAUGGGACCCAGGGGCACUUUACCACUGAGCCACAUCCCCAACCGGGUCUUGCUAAUUUGCUUAGUUUUGAUAAAUUGCUGAUGCUGACCUUGUACUUGCAAUCUUCCUGCCUCAGCCUCUUGAGCCGCUGGGAUUACAGGCAUGCACCACCAUGCCCAGUUGUAAAUGGGGGUUUAGACAGAUUCAUGGUCAUAAUAAGGGAUAUUUAAUUGAAAAGUCAGAUCAAUGCCUUAGCUGGGAACCAGGAGCUGUAUCUGGAGGCAGGUUCUGCAGAUCCUGGGGACAGCCUCAGCAAUGCUGUCAUGUCAAGCAUCUUUCUAGAUCUUCAGGGUCUCAGGAAUGUGCAGCAGCUUCCAGCUUCCUGGUCAUUAACUGCAUUUGCUCCUACCAGAUUUCUCCUUUGCCAAGAACCCUCUCCAGGCCAGGUCCUAAAGCAGGAAGAGGACUCAUGCACUUUCACAGCCAUAGCAGGAAGAAAACUAUACAUAGAUAAAUACACACCACACACAUGAAGGUGAGUGCCAGUGGGAGGGGUCUUGGUAGAAUAAGUCACAUUUGAGUCACAUCUAAGUCACUCUGAAGCCUGAGUAGGAGCCUGCCACAUUGCCCAAGGCAGGGCAGGAAAUUCAAGCAGGCAGAAGUAAGGGAUGAACAAAGACAAGGCUAGCAGUUACAGAUCAGGAAGGUAAACCAGCAGAGUUUCCGGAAAGGGAGAAAGGAAGUCACAUUUGAGUGCUAGAGAGAUUUUUCUGGUGGUAGGGGAGGAGAAUGUGUGAGGAAAGCAGUUAAUGAUUUCUUGUCCAGGUGAGAAGUUUAGGCCUUCUGCUCCAUUAUGGUGGAGUCAAGACUUUGCUUUCUUCACUUCUGGGCCAUGUCCAAAGCUGCACCUUCUACUUCCUGUGUCCUCUCCCCUCCUCUUGGCAUGGUCAGUUCUCCUUCUUUCUUUGAGUUUUAAAAUUAAUGUGUGAGCCGGGCAUGUAGGCGCACCAUAGUAAUUCCAGCUACUUGGAGGCUGAGGCAGGAGAAUUGCAAGUUUGAGGCCAACCUGGGCAAUUUAGAUGGUGUCUCAAAAGCUAAAAAGGAUUGGGUAUGUAGCUUAGUGGCAAUAUCGCUGGUUACCAGUGAUGAGUUCUGCUUCCUCACAUUUUGAAAUAUAACAUUAAAGAAGCAUGCAGAGGCAAGCAUAUAAAGCAGAAUUUAUUGUAAAAAGGGGUAACAGACUUUUCCCAGCAGGGAGAAGGGGGCCAUAGCUGAUACCUUAGUAUCCAAGAAGCCAGGGUGUUUUGCCUUUUUAUAUGUCCUAGGCUUCCUUUGUUCUCUUGCUCUUUUCCCUUUAUCUCUCUCCUUCCUGCAUAGGUGACUAGACCCAGGAGAUGCUCAGUGGGAUGGCCAAAAAGUGAAAAGCUGAUGGAUGGGGGAAGGGCCAGAUGGAGCAGCUCAGGACACAUUAAUUAACAACUUUAUAACUCCCUGUAGGGAGAGACAAUUCCUGGGACAGGUUACCUUAGUAACAAGUUGGAGCAGGGGCUGAUAAGGGUGAUAAAGGUGGAGGAAGGGCUCUGGAGGCAUUUUAGUCCCUCAGGGGGCAGUCUCCGACUUCCAGGACUCACUCAAAUUAUCUAUACUGAGUGCCUGUCUAAUUCUGACUUCAGUGGUCGAGUUCUUCUGAGUUCAAUUCCUAGUACCACACACAUGCACACAAAAUAAUAAAAUAAAAAGCUACGUGGGGGUGCUGGAGUUGUGGCUCAAUGGUAGAGUACUUGCCCCACAUGCGUGAGGCCCUGGGUUGGAUCCUCAGCACCACAUAAAAAUAAAUAAAUAGAUAGAUAGAUAAAGAUGUUGUGUCCAUCUACAACGAAAAAAAUAUUUUAAAAAACUAUCUGGGGAGGUAGCUCAGUCUUGCCUGGCUUGUGGGAUGUCUAAGGUUCAAUCCCUAGUGCCACAAAAUAAGUUAGGUGUGACCUCACUUAGAAAAACUCACUGACCUCUCAGAUGGCCCCUGUCAUUCUCAAGCUGAGUAAGGAACCGGUAUUCUGGGCUCCAGAAUGCUUUGUGCCUUUUCCUGUCUCUGAAUCAAUUCCAUGGCUCUAGGAUUGUGUUUUGGUUUCUUUACCAUUAUAAUAUGAUUUUUCACUGGGCAGGGGCCAGAUCUCACUAAUCUUUUUGUUGUUGUUAUUGUUGUUUGUUUUGUACUGAGAAUUGAAUCCCAACUCCCUAUCCCUUUUUAUUUUUUUAUUUUGAAAGAGGAGCUAAGUUGUUUAGGGCCUCUCUAAGUUGUUGAGACUGACUUUGAACUUGCAGUCCUUCUGCCUCAGCCUCCUAAGUCACUGAGAUUACAGGCCAUGUGCCCGUGCCCAGUUCUUUGUGUCUUCAACACCUAGCAGAGAAAGUCUGACACCAAGAAGAUAAGUAGCAAAUAACUGUGACUGGAUGAGUAAAGAAUAGAUGAAAAUUUGAGAGAGAUUUUGGGGGUUGAAUUAGAAUUGCUUGGCAAGAGAUUGGGCAGGACUGGUGACAGGGUGGUGUCUAAAAUGAUCCCAGGUUUUCUGGUUUGGGUGCAGGGGAUAUUUACACUGUUUUUACUCAUAAUUCUUCUAAUGCUGAGUGUAUAGGAUUUGCAGACUAAUUGCCCAGUUCUCAGACACCAACUGAGUAUCCAACAGUUCAGUUUAAUUCUGAUACUUUCUACCUAGAGUUAGAGUCAGAUCCCACCAGUUAAAAAGGUCUGUCCCACAAGACAGCCUUCAUUUCAGACACAGGUGACCAGUCUCAUGUUGACAUCUAUAUUUCUGACCAGCCAGCUAUAUAAAUCCCUGGGUUCCCUUGACCAUCCUUCUUCACAUUCAAAAAUGUGCUGGAAUGGCUUACAAGACUCAGGGAAACAUUUUAGUCAUACUUAUGAGUUUAAAUGUAUAAGGAUAUAACGCAGGAAUAGCCAGGUGGAAGAGAUGCAUAAGGCAAGGUAUUAGGCAUUCAGGGCUUCUCUGUCAUUUCAAGGCACAGCACCUUCAUAGCACUUCAGUGUGUUCAUCAACCAAAUAGCUCUUUUGAACCUUAUCAUAUAGUUCCCCCAGACCCUCUACUGGGGUGCUCUACCACUGUACUACAUCCCCAGCCCUUUUUAUUUUUUAUUUUGAGACAGGGUCUCACCAAGUUUUGAAGGCUGCCCUCAAACUUGAAAUCCUCCUGUGUUAGCCUCCUGAAUUCCUGGGAUUAUAGGCAGGUACCUCUGCACCCCUGAUAUUAUAUAUGGGUUUUAAUGGAGGUUUCAUUAUGUAGACAUGAUUGAUCAAAGUACUGGCUAUUGAUGAUUAAUUCAACCUUUAGCCCUUUUCCCCUUUUGGAAGCUGGGAGAUAGGGCAGAAAGUUCCAAGUCUUUGUCAAGGCUGGCUCUUGCUUGUGGCUAGCCCCAACCUGAAACUAUGAAGAACCCCCAACCACCAGUCAUCUCAUUUGCAUGCAAAAGACACUUUCCUCAUUCCUGAGAUUCCCAGGGUUUUAGGAGCUUACAUUUAUCACUGGAGGUGGUAGUGCCAUUAAACUAGGUGACAGAUAAGAAGAACAGAUAUGAGAAAAAAGACUAUUUCCUUCAGCUACCUUGUAGUGAAACAAAACAAUAAUCACUGUUUCUGGUUCACUGGGAUGGCAUCCUCAUCUCCACUCUUGGACUGAGCUGACAACCCCCAAAUACCUACAGGACUUGGCUUUUACUAACCAAUUCCCAAUUCUCUUCCAUGUGUUUACAGUCUUGUGGUUUUCAGUGUUCUGCAGAAUGCCUCCUUCUGAACUUCCACUAAUUAGUGUCUUUGGUUUGUCCACUUAUCUAGGGAUCUUUCAAUUACUAAAAAGAGGUCUCUCACCUCUACCCAUAUCUCAGGCAGCUUUGUGAACAUUUUCUCAUGUGAUCCAUUUUCUAUAUUCAGAAGAACUACAGAAUAUAGGUCAAGGCUCUUUCAUGCAUAUAACUGAAAGCCUGGAAUGCACAGGUAUAACCCAAAAGGGAGUUUAUUGGCUCACCAAACUGAAAAUUCCAGAGAAUAGACUUAACUUAAGGCAUGCUUCCAUUUAGGGAUAUAAAUGCUGUCAGGCCCUGAUUUUCACUCCUGAUGACUCAGGGUCACUUCUUAUCUCUCAACUUUAUUCUCAGGAGGUUCUUCCCAUGCAGUGCAAGGGGGGUCAGGGGGCUGCAGUUACCAUAGACUGUUCCUUUUAUGCUUAAAUCAAGCCAAAAAGAGUAAGCCUUUUAUCUAUCUGUGCCUGCAACAAUAGUCCAGAGAGUUGCUCUGAUGUGGUUGGUAGGAUUGUUUGUUGGCCUCUGAAUGAUCUCUAGAUCAGGGACUGCUGCAGGCCUGGGUGGGGCUGGGGCAUGGAUAAACCACAGAUAUUCACUAACUUGCUGAAAUCCUCCCCUCCCAGGAGGUGGAGCUCAGAUAUUGCCAACAAAAUUGACAGGACUACAAGUAUGUGCCACCAUGCUGGGCUCCUAUAUCUUUGCUACUUGAAGUCAUCAAAGUUUCAGUGAGUCUGGUACAUUGCAACAUUAUUGGGGGGGGGGGGGUUAACCCUGGAGUGCUCUAGCACUGAACUACAUCCCCAACCUUUCUUAUCUUAUUUUGAGAUGGUCUUACUAAAUUGCCUAGGCUGGCCUCAAACUUUUGGUCCUCCUGUCUCAGCCUCCCCAAAUGCUGGGAUUACAGGCCUGCACCACCUUGCCUGGCUCUCUUUUAGAUACUUCUAUAUUGCCUGAAAAUAUGGUACCACUGAGUCAUGACUCUAAGUCAUGAUUCUAAGACAGAAGUGAUAUCCUUGCUUUUUCUGUGUGGAACCAAAGGACUAAUCACGUCCUGCUGGCUGAGUCAAGACUAUCUACAUGCCUUCAAGGCACAGGCCCUUUUUGUUUCCCUCCACCCCACCCACCCCAACCCAGUACUGGGGAUUGAACCCUCUAGUGUUCUACUUCUGUUCUACUUCUCCCGCCCUUUUUAUAAAUUUUAUUUUGAGAUGGGAUCUUGCUGGCCUUGAACUCGGCACCCUCCUGUCUCAAUCUCCUGAGAAGCUGGAAUUAUAUGCAUGUGCCACUGCUCCCAGCUCUUUUAGCUAUUUAAUAACUAAUCUCUGGGGAAAUGCAGGUGAGGGGGAAAAAAAUCCCAAAUAUGGAAAGGUUGUAGAGUCAAUAAAUCUCUUAAUUAUAGCUUUAAUCCUUAAAUAGUUUACAAUUAUUUUUCUUAAUAAAACCUAGAAGCCUAAUUUAUUAAUUUGUUAUCUCAUCUAACACGCAUAAAGGCCCAGUGUUAGUUCUCUAGAAGCUCACAGACUCACUGAAAAUUUGAUGACUUCAAGUAGCAAAGAUAUAGAAGCCCAGCAUGGUGGCACAUACUUGUAAUCCUGUUGAUUCAGGAGGCUGAGGCAGGAGGAUUGCAAGUUCAAGCCCAGUCUCAAAAGUUUGAGACCCUGUCUCAAAAUAAAAAGGACUGGGGAUAUUGCUCAGUGGUAAAGCACCCCUGGGUUCAAUCCCUGGUACCAAACAAACAAAAAACAAAGAUGUAGAGGUAAAGCUUUGGCAGGAAAGAAUCCCCCUUUGCACUAGAAGCUUGCUCAAGCUAUGUACUCAGCACUGCUCUAUUCCCUAGAAGCCUCUGAAAAGCAGUUUCCCAGCCAGCACACCAGGGUUGAAAUACUCUUUCUUCACACCAGGAGCACACUACUACAUUGCAAAUGGGAGGGUUUGAUGUUCAUGGUAGCAUAAACUUUAUGAAGGGCAAUUUGGCAAUAACUAAUAAAAGUGUGCCACUCUUUUGUCUUUUAGAACUGUUUCCUUGCACAUGUAGGAAAUAACGUUUUUUUAGGUGGUAUUAGAGAUUUAGCUCUGAGCUGUACCUUCAGUUCCUUUUUAUAAAACUCUGAGACAGGGUCUCCCUAAAUUUCCCAGGCGGAACUACAACUUGUGGUCCUUUUGGCACGUCACUGGGAUUACAGGUGUGUGCCUCUGCCUAGCUGAGCAUCUUUGGCAUGAAAUUUUGUUGUUAUUGAGAGAUGCUUAACCUAUCAUAAACGCUCAUUCCCUUGCUAUUCCCCCUAUGAAAAGCUUUGAUCUUUCACAGACUAGAUUUUGGUCCAGGAUAGGUCCUGUGUCUCAGAACGUGACAGUUACUUGGUUGGUUCUCUCUGCUGAUAGCUGAAACACUCCAGUGUCUCCACCUGUGUUGCUCACCACUGUAGCUAUUUGAGGUUAAAUUUGUUCCUUGCUCAGGGCUGUACCAGUUCUCAGCUCUUCUUCCUGCUCCAGUAGGGAAAGUCCCUUUACAUGCUUAAAACUGAAACCAAAGUAUAACAGCCAGUUGGCCACCACAAAGGCGGGUCCCCACAACCAUCAUGUCUCCACCCACUCUAGGUUCCUAUCGGUACCUCUUAAAUCUUUAAAUCCUCAUAGUUGGCCUUCUUCCUAAGAAAUUCCAGGCCCUGGCGGCUCCAGGAAUCCAGCUCCUGGCAGUUUCUAAAUCUAGAUAAAUUUUUCCUCCAGAGAGGGAUUUUUGUCCCCUGCCCCCCCCCCAUGCUUUUCUUUUAUGAUUCACAUUUUAAAUUUAGCCAAGAAUUGCAGAAGGAUUUUAAAAGGUGAAAGAAAGCCAGUAGGUGAUCUUAUCUUUCUCCAAAGAGGAGGAUUGAGGAGGCAUCUUCCUGACUUCUCUGGAAACCCUUAAGUUAAGGAUGCAAGUGUUCUUAAGGACCACAGAAGUAAAACAAAUGACUGUAGCCACUUGGAGUGAGAUAAUGGCAGUGGAAGUGUGGGUAUGAUGGAGGUGAGGUUGUAAGGACUGAGGGAUGGUCCACAUAUACCAAGACCCUCUGCCCCAACCUAUAUUGGAACCUGGGAUUUUUUUGUGUGGUGAGAAGAGGCACAUGAAAUUUUGUUGUGAAAUUCCACACAUCUUUAUUUAUUUUUGGUUCUGUGGGUUAAACCUAGGGUCUCCCACAUGCUACCAUCGAACUACUGCCCCCAGUUAUCUUUUUUAUUUUUCUCAGACUACAUUUUUUAUUAUAUACCUCCAAUUAUCUUUAAAAUGUUGUUUUGAGUUUUUUGUUGGUACCAGGGAUUGAACCUAGAGCCACUUAACCCCUGAGCUACAUCUCUAGCCCUUUUUUGUAUUUUAUUUAGAGUCAGGGUCUCACUUAGGGCCUCACUAAGUUGCUGAGGCUGGCUUUGAACUUGCAGUCCUCCUGUCUUAGCCUCCUGAGUAACUGAGAUUGCAGGUGUGCACCACCACACUUGGCAGUCUUUAAUAAAGCAUUGUGAGUUCAGGAAUAGGUCUGCACUUCUGCUAGUUUUCUCCUACCUGCCCCUCAGUCUGCAACCUUCAGUCUGCUGGACUGCCCGUGUAACCAAAGGCUAUUUGAUCUCUAUGGCUGGAUUUAAAUGGUUUUAAUAUUUGAAUAUUUUAUUAAAUUUAUGAAAUAUUUUGCUUGAAUUUAUAGAACUGCAUUUGUUUUGCUUAUACUUAACUCAUUUCAAAAAAAAUGGUAAUAAUUUUAAAAAUUGUGGUAAAAGAUGCCUAAUAUAAAAUUUACCAUUUCAACCACUUCUAAGAGUAUAGUUCAGAAGCACUAAAUAGAUUCACAUUCUUAUGCAACCAUAUCACUAUCCAUCUCCAGAAUUCUUUCAUUUCCUCCAAUUGAAACUCUAUACCCAUUAAACAAUAAUUCCACAUUCUACCUCUAGCUAUAUCCCCACCACAUCCAACUAGGGUGCUGCUGUAUGACUAGCUCCUAGCAACUACCACUGUACUUUGUAUUCUAUGAAUGUGCCUAGUCUACUUACCUCAAGUAAGUGGAAUUCUAUAAUAUGUGUUUUUUUAAAAAAAAACAGGAAAAAAUAACACAAAAUUUAUUACAUACCUAAGGCAUGGAGUAUUUGAUUCCAAUAUUUCCUUUUUUUUUUUUUUCUUUUUGUACUGUGAAUUGAACUCAGGGUCACUUUACCACUGAGCUGCAUCCUUGGCCCUUUCUAGUUUUUAUUUUGAUACAGGACCUCACAAAGUUGCUGAGGCUGGCUCAAACUUGCCAUCUUCCUGCCUCAGCCUUCUAAGUAGCUGGGAUUACGCAAGUACACCAUCACACCUGGCAUUUUUCACUGUAUUUUUAAAUUUUUAAAAUUUUUUAAGUGUAUAUGGACACAAUACUUCUUUUUCUAUUUAUUUAUUUUUAGGCAAGCACUCUCCCUCUGAGCUCUACCACCCCAGCCCUUCACUUUUUUUUUUUUUUUUGGUGCUGGGAAUCCAACUCAGGGCCUUAUGUAUGCAAGGCAAGCACUCUACCAACUAAGCUAUAGCCUCCAGCCCUUUCACUGUAUUUUUUUUUUUAAAGAGAAAGAGAAUUUUUUAAUUUGGUGGACACAACAUCUUUAUUUUAUUUUUAUAUGGUGUUGAGGAUCGAACCCAGUGCCCCACGCAUGCCAGGCGAGCACGCUACCGCUUGAGCCACAUCCCUAGCCUUGUAUUUUUAAUAUUAUAUAUUGACAAGACCAUUGUUCAAACUAAGUCAAAAGGUAGUAGAGAAGUAAUGUGCUGUAGUUCCAACUAACCAACCAAUGGGUCAGCCUCCCUCCCACCCCCUUCCAUGGUCCAGGCAUCUUCCCCAGUAGCAGCCCUCCUGCCUCCAGAAGUUAGAGCCUGGUUUCUGCCUCUAUCCACAGGAUAACACUGUCAGCAGAGCCAGCAGCCUUGGGUACAAAGCAGUGAGGACCUCCAGAGAGUCUCUGGGGAGCCAUAUCUUACCUUCUUUAUAACUUGCUUCUUAGUAACCCUGGCCAGCUUUGAAAUGGCUGGAAGCACAGCCCCUGCUAUGGAGAUCAGACAAAUAAGCUUCCUCCCACAGAUGAGAAGAUGUUCUGUCACACUAAAGUACCUAGGUGGGCUCACAGCUAUCAGAAUUGUUGUUAGAAAAAGGAGUCCACAGUUUAGUGAACCUAAAACUCAACCUCUGAUUUUGGGUUGAUGCUUCCAAACUCUAGACUUGACUCAAAACUCAAAAAUUUAAGCCAGAGGCUGGCAAAUGAUGGCCUGUACCAGGUCAAAUGUGGCCUGCUACCUGUUUUUGUUUAUAGUAUUGUGAUUGAACCCAGGGAUACUCUCCCAGAGUUGUUGUACCCCCAGCACUUUUUAUUUUUUUUUUAUUUUGAAACAGAGUGUUACUAAACUGCCAAGACUGGUCUCAAACUUGCAAUUCUUCUCUCAGUUUCCCCAGUUGUUAGGAUUAUAGACUCCCAGCUGUACCUCUUUUUGUAGGACUUGUGAAGUUAGAAUGGUUUUUACAUUUAAAGUGAUUGAAAAAAAUUAAAGGAAGAAUUAUACUGGAGGACUUGUAAUAUUUAUAUGUAAAUCAAUAGUGUUCAUAGGGAGCUGGAGAUAUAGCUUAGUUGAUAGAGUGCUUGCCUCGCAUGCACAAGGCCCUGGGUUCAAUCCCCAGCACCACAAAAAAAAAAAAAAAAAAAAAAAGUGUAAUGUUUAUAAAUAAAGGUUUAUUAGAAAACAGCCAGGCUUGUCCAAUUGUGUAUUAUUAGUCUGUGGCUGUUUGUCACAGUCUAUAAAUCCUAGCCUCCAUUCCCAUACUUCCUUCCACACAGACCAACUUUAGAGAAAUGUGGAAGCCAGCACAUUUCCUUUGGCUCUACUUCCGAACACCCUGUGUUAACUACUACCACUACCACCACUCGCCACCAUCCUUUUCACUACCAUCACUACUGCCACAAUCACUACCACAACCAUCACCACCAAGAUCACCUUGAAACUCCACUUAUCUGUAGAAGACUUAGUUGAAGAAAGGAGGCAACUAAUAACUAAAGAUAAUUAACAUUGGUCAUGUCUCAGAAUAACUAAGAGAGUCACCAGUAUAUCUUAUGGAUCUAAGGGAGGCCAGAGAUCUCUGCCAGGAACAUCCCCUCUAUUCAAGGUUGCUGGUGUGUCCUCAGCUCCACAAACUAGAAACUCUUUGUGGACUCCGAUACUGUGGUGUAAAUAUACUCCAACAGUUAUAGAAUGUUGUUUUUUAGCAUAUAACCCAAUGGGAUGAUCUCUUAAGUCUCUUUCAGAAUGUAAGUACUCAGUUCAAUUCUUAUGUCAGGACCUUCUUCUUCUGGGUUCACUUUUUUCUUUUUUCUUCUUUUUGGUGCUGUGUAUUAAACCCGGAGCUUUAGGCCUGCUAAGCAAGAACUCUACCACUGAAAUAUACCUCCAGCUCAAGUCAUCUUUAUAAGAAACUCCAAGAUAAAACAUUUAUUUCUGAUUUUAAUACCAAGAAGAGUUGUCCUAGUCCAUUUUCUGCUGCUAUGACAGAAUACCACAGACUGGGUGACAACCAACGCUACAAGUUCAUUUGUCUUAUGAUUCUGGAGGUUAGGAAGUCCAACAGCACUGUGUGGAAAUUUGUGCUUUGUCAUAAUCUGGCAAAAGGGCCAGCAAGCAUGUAUAAGCCAGGGAGAGGGUAAGAAGGAGAUAUACUAACCCACGCCCACAAUAAUGACAUUAAUCCAUUCAUGAAAGCAGAGGCUUCUUGAUCCAAUCUCUCAUAGAUUUUUUUUGACCUCAAUAUUAUGAUGGCAAUUAAAUUUCAAUAUAAGUUUUGGAGGGAACAUUCUAAGAUUUAAGAAUCUGUCUUCAUCUCACAGAUAGGUGAAUCAUGCAUGUAGCAAAGCAGAUAUUCCUUUUAACAGAGGCUGUUAAGCUGUUUGGAACCAGAUAAUAUGGCCCAGCUCUGGUAAACGUUGAGUUCUUUAGGCUCUGAAGUUUUGAGCCCCAUUCUGGCUUGACACUACUUUAUUUUGCCUCAGUCUUAAUUUCUGUCUUUGUUGUGGUUUGGAUAUGAGGUAUCCCCCAAAACCUCCUGUGUUAAUGCAGGAAUGUAUGGAAGUGAAUUUGAAUUGUGAGAAUUGUAACCUAAUUGUACUCAUUUGAAUGGACUGAGUGGUAACUGUAGGCUGUUGGGGCAUAGCUGGAGAAGGUGGGUCACUAGAAACACUCCCUGAGAGGGCUGUUCUUUCCUGAGACCCCUUCUCCCCACUCUCUCUGCUUUGGAACUGCUGUGAGCUAAGCAUCUCCCGCACCCCUACUGUGCUCUUCAACCAUGAUGUGCUGCUUCUAUGGACUGAGACCUCUGAAACUAUAAGCCCCAAAUAAACUUUUCUUCCUCUAAGUUGUUCUUGUCUGGUAUUUUGGUCACAGUGAUGCAAAAGGUGAUUAACAACAGUCUUGUUAUGACCUAUAAACUGGGGCUGGGGGUGUAGCUCAAUGGUGAAAAGCUUGCUGAGUGUGCUUAAGGCCCUGUGUUUGAUCCCCAGCACUAAAUACAUACUUACAUUCGCACAUAUGAACAUAUAUACACAUAUAUAUAUAAACAAACAAAACCCUCUAGAAAAACCUUAAAACCUCUAGAGCAAGAUGGAAAUUAAAUGGGUAGAUGUCAAAUAACCUUCCCACACAUACAUGUUUGAUAGAUUGUGUUAAAAUGUGGGAGACCUCUGAAUAUUGAACAUUGAAAUUAAGGUUAUUGAAUAAUCUCCUGACAAUAAUUGCUGCACUGUUUCUGCAGUUUUAGCAAUAGAAAUAUUCAUCUAAUCAACACAAAUGUAUUGAGUACCUCCUAUGAGCUAGUCACUAUUCUGACAUUGGGCACUCAGCCAUGAGAAAAAGCCAAAAUUUUCUGUCCUUUAGGGUUGGGGAUGUAGCUCAUUGGUAGAGUAUGUGCUUAGUAUGUGUGAGGCUGCAGAUGCGAAACCCAGCACCAGUAAAAGAAUUCCUGCCCUCAUUGAAUUUGCAUUCUACUGGCCUGAUGAAAUGCUCUCUGAAAAAUGGAAUUCAUUUCUACCACUUAAUAGCUGAAUGUCUUCAGGGAAAAUCACUUGCCCUCUCUGGGCUGCAGUUUCAUCAUCAGAAAAUUGGGAAUGAGGUUUAACUUACUAUAAGAAAAGUAAGAAGAUAUGUAAACAUCAUUGCAUGGUCUCUGUUGUUUGAUUCUUGUGCUUAUGGCCUUGUUUAACAAAUAACUUUUUUGUGCCUAAUGUUUUUUUGUUUUGUUUUUUGCACUGGGGAUUGAACCCUGGGGUACUUAACCACUGAACCACAUCCCCAGCCCUUUUUAUUUUUCAUUUUGAUUCAGGGUCUCAACUAAAUUGCUUAGGGACUUGAUAAGUUGCUAAAGGUAGCUUUGAACUUGUGAUCCUCCUGCCUCAGCCUCUGGUGCUGCUGGGAUUAUAGGACUGUGCCACCACACCUGACCUAAUGAUCUUAUAUUUUUUUAAAAAAUUGGGAUAAUAAUACUUAAAGAAUUGUGAGAUCACUAACAGGGUUAAUAAAUGUGAAAACUGACACAUAGGAAGUCCCCAGUAAAAGUUAACUAUUCUCAAUUACACCAAAGUGCUCAGUCCUAUGUCUCAUGUCUCUGUCUUUCCUUCCUCUGAAAAUAUAACAUACAUUUAUAUAAUCCUAUAACUGGGACUAUACAAGGUAAGAAAAGUGAUAAUUAAAAUACAUUCCAAGUUCCAGUCAUGAAAGGCAGGAUCAGAACAGGUGUGGCUGGUAGCAUGGAGGGUGGGUAGAACCCUUCACACUGAGAAGCUUCUGAGACUGAGGCUCUCUGUUGAAAUCAUUCCUGUUACCAAUGACAGCUAAGAUACUUCACUCAUUGUUCUUCACCACCCCACCCACUUUUGUUUGCCAUGUGGUACUUAAGAUUGAACCCAGGGAUGCUCUGCACUGAGCCACAUCCCCAGCCCUUUUUAUUUUUAUUUGAGAUGGGGUCUUGCUAAGUUGCCAAGGCUCACCUCCAACUUGUGACUUUCUAGGACUACAGGAGUGUGCUACCAUGCCCAGUUCAAUUUGUCAUCCUUUUGCACAUCAGAAAUGCCACUUGUGGUCUGGGGUUAUGGCUCAGUAGUAGAGCACUCACCUAGCACAUGCAAGGCCCUGGAUUCGAGCCUCAGCACCACAUAAAAAUAAAUAAAUAAAACAAAGGUAUUGUGUCCAACUACAACUAAAAAUGUGAAUAUUAAAAAAAAAAAAAGCCGCUUGUAAGAAGUUGCAGCUUCCCUUAUUAAGGGAGGAUUUCAAAUGCUGUCUUCAAGAGCACCUCCAAUGUUUUCCAGUGUACUGUUUUACCAGAUAAAGCAUUAAUAUGCCCUUUUUUUUGGGGGGGUGGGGGGGGAGUGUAUGUGGUGCUGGAGAUUGAACCCAGGGCCUUGUGCAUGAGAAGCAAGCACUCUACCAACUGAGCUAUAUCCCCAACCCUUAGUAUGCUCUUGAAGGAAAAAGGAACCAUUUUUGUCUUUUCUCUAAGGCAUUUUAAAAAGAGUGAUAGAUGCUUUUGGUGAACAAGGAGUACCAAAGAGCAGUAAAUGAGAGGGAGCAUCUUCACCUCUGAGGUUGGGAUAAGAAAAUUGAGCAGAUGCUUUGUGGAACUGAGUACUGACCACAGACUCAGGUACAGAAAAAUGUUAUGUUCUAUAUUUUUAAAUUUCAUUUAAAAAAAAAAUCUCAACCUAAUUCCUAUUUUUCAGUUAUAGUUCCUUAGUCAGUAGUUAGUGUUUGUUGUUUUGUUUUGUUUUGUUACAGGGAUUGAACUCAGGGGCACUCAACCACUGAGUCACAUCCUCUGCUCUGUUUUGUAUUUUAUUUAAAGAUAGGAUCUCAUUGAGUUGCUUAGCGCCUAGCUUUUGCUGAGGCUAGCUUUGAACACAUGAUCCUCCUGCCUCGGCCUCCCAAGCUGCUGGGAUCAUAGGCAUGUGCUACUGCACCCAGCCAGCCAGUUAGUGUUUUUUUGAUUUGUGAGGAAGGUGUAGAGUAUGCUAGCAUUAGGUGAGGAUUCAUCCUUGCUGUUGUCUGGAGAUUCUCCCCACCUUCACCCUGGGGAAGAUAUUGCCCUUUGGGCCCAGGAUGGUUGCAGCUCCUUCCCUAUGGGAGAAAUCUGGCUGAUCCUAGAUCUUCCCUAGCAUGGGACCACAAGGGCUGGGGCUGUCUUGGGUCUCUUCCCUGCUGUAUGCUAGGGAACUCCACAAGCUCUUCCCUCCCCAGACUCCAUCAGGAAGAAAGAGGAAAACCUUUUUGCCCUCAGACAAUCAUGACAAGCAGGUUGCUCUAACUGUUCCAUCUCACUGGCCUCUACUGUAGCUUGAGACCUUUCUCAGAUCUUUUUCUUGUUUUUCUUUUUCCUUCCUGUUUCCCCUCAAUCUCUCCCACCACCACCCCAACCCCUAAUCUAUCUCUAUCUCUCUUACUACAGAACAUUUGUUCAUGCUUCCCAAAGGGAAAUUCUGACCCAACCUAAUUGAAUAGUCUUCUAAAUCCAUUCUGAAUGUUAUAAGUCAAGACUCUAAAAAAUAAUCACCUUCCUAUGAAUCAAUGGGACUCCUGGUAUUUCUUUUAUAACAUUGGUGUCAAUCCAUUUCACUUAUUCAUAUGCUGUUGGUAUUUUAACUUUGAACAGUUAACUAUUAGAUCAAUUAAGAAUAAAGAGGGGCUGGGGCUGUAGAUCAGUGGCAGAGUACUUGCCUGGCAUGUGUGAGGCACUGGGUUCGAUCCUUAGCACCACAUAAAAAAAUAAAGGCAUGCUGUCCAUCUACAACUAGAAAAAAAAAAAAGAAUAAGGAAAAUAAGAAUUUUAUUUUACCUUUUUUUAUUCCUUCUUGUUCAUUCUUUCUUUAUGUGGACCUGAGUUUUUAUUUAUAUCAUUUCCCAUCUCCCUAAAGAACUUCUUUUGGUAUUUUGCUGUUGUUGUUUCUGGGCUGGUGUGGCUCUUAAGUACUGUACAACUCUAUAAAUUUUUUUUCUGCUUUGUUCAAGAUCAUGGAACAACAAAAUAACAAAAUGUGUUCCAGUUAUGUGCUGCCAUUCCAGAAAUGGCCACCAGAUGUCGGUCCUCCCCCAAUUUCAAAUGUCUAAAGACAUUGGUACAGUAAGGAGGACCUGCAUCCUGGGGCUGCCAGCCACCAGGUGGUUUAAGUUUCUUGGUCUAUCAACAUUGCAUAAAGAGAAGCUGUCUAUUCUCCUUCUAAAACAUCCAAUGGUUCUUUAGGAAGGGAGAGCUGAAUCAAAAAGAUAGUAUACUGGGACAUUGAAGGUGAAGGCAUCUUUAAAACAGGGUUAACCCAGAAAGUACAGAUCAAAAAUGAGGACAGGAAGGCUAAUCCUGUAGUUCUGUGUCUGAAGACCAGGUAAGGACCAGGAUGGCAGCCUUUCCUUGGGAGACUGAGUCCCUGAAAUCAUCAUACCUUGAAGAAGAUGAGAAAUCCACUCCCAAAUCAUCCAGGGACACAAAUGUGUUUGCCUCCAGAGCAAGUGAUAGGUACAGCUGUUGGGGGAGGUAAUUAAGGUAUCAUGGAAGAGCAAUUUCUUCAUGAAAUUAUUUAAAUUCAAAACUUAAGAUUAUGCUGGCUUACAUCUGAAAGCUACUUAGUUUUCAAAUGUUUGGACCAGCAUAACAUCCAAACCUCUUACUAUCGCUUUUGGGACCCUCCACAGCUAUUCCCACUCUUCUUUUCUCACCUAUCAUGUACCCUACCCCAAUCCCCCACUAUAUCCUUUGUCAGGGGCAGAUGCCUUUUGUCCUAAAGUCUCUUCUCCCAUUCCUCACUUCAUUCAAGAUCCACCUAAAAUGUGGGCCCAAUCUUUUCCUAGGUUUGUGGGGACCUCCCAGGGUGGCACAAGCAGGACCACAUAUAGCAGCUUAAUUCUAAGGGGGACCAUUCUCAUUGGAGUCUGUGAGGAUAGUGCCCCUGGUGUUCCAAGGAUUGUACAAUGCUGCUGACAGGCAUGCUAGGGUCUCUCCUCUCUGGGCUCACCUCUACCACCAGCCUCCAGACAGCAUUCUUCCACCUUGCAGGGGCUCUGCAAUCACAAGAAAGUUGAUGAGGAAGUGGAUUAUGUUCAGGUUGGUGGUACUAUGGCGUCUCAAGUGUCCCUUUGUUUUAAAUGACCCUGGAUCUCCUGAGCCCAGUAGAGGCAGGUUUUGAGGUGCAACCUUACCCUGCAUUCUGCUACAUAGCUGCUCCUUAACAGCCCUCAGCCACAAUUCCUUCGCACACGGAUAAUGUGGAUUUAAGAAAUUGCUCCCAGAAUGGGUGUAGUGACAAACACCUAUAAACCCAGAGACACAGGAGACAGAUGUGGAAGGAUCACAAAGUUCAAGACCACUCUCAGCAACAUAGUGAGAACUACCAAGAAGGAAAGGAGGAAAGAAAGAAAAAGAGGCAAACAGCCACCUGGAUUUAUUUGAUCCCUAGUACUGGGGGGAAAUUGCUUGCUGACUGAUUAGACCCAUAAUGUAACAGCCUUCUAUGCCCCCACUGCCUGGACCUGCACUGGUCAGCAUGUGUUCCUUCCUGGCAUAGGGGACCAAGAAUUGAGGGUGUGUGUCAGUGGGCUAGGCAGAUAACUUCCCAGAGUGGUGGUGGAGGGAGAGGCUUCCAAAGGUUUCUUUGGCACCUUGAGCCUCUGCCCAGAUUGGGAGAAUCUAGUCAAAGCAGGCCUUUGCCAGCUCUAGCACUUCCCAAGGGAAUUAGGCAUUAAAGGUGGCAAUAGUUUGACUAAAGGGCCCUUCUUCUAUAUUGUUUCAUAUUGUCAGGAAUACCUCUGGAAUUUCUAAAAGGAAAGGGCUCCAGGGAAACAAUCUGGUUGAAAGGUGAUAAGAAAUCAGGAGAACACCUACCAAUUUGCCUUGAAGCUUUGUUUUACAAUUUAAUACAAACAGCAGCAUUCCCAUAGAUGCCAUAUUCACACUUAUAUGUGGACAUUCUUAUAAGAGUUUGAUUUGUAAGAUUGAUCAAGAUUAUAGAGAGGCAAGCAUUUCUUGAUACAAAUCAUGCCAUGGUUGAAAGGAAUGUUCAUGAGCAGUGUUGGCAAUAAGGAAAUGUGAUUGGUUUUAGCAUCCAAUUGGGCCACUUCAGCAAGGAAUACAUUGGGAAUGAAAACUGUCUCAAAAAUAAAUAAAUAAAAAUAAAGAGGACUGGGGUAAGGUAGCUCAAGGGUUACAUGCCCUGUGGGUUCAUUCCCCAAUACCAGAAAAAAAAAAAAUGUUGGUGUUUUAAGUACCAAUGGAGGAGAAAUUAUGUGGACUGACUUCAAAGGGAAAAGGUGGGAGAAGUGUCAAGAUAAAAGGAGGAAGGUUUAGGAAGACUCUCCAAGACUAGGAAGGUUCAGAAGUCUGUAAUGUACUCAAGAAGCUGAGACACCCCUCCCCCCACUCUCUCCAUAUACAAGGAAGAAUCUUUCCUUCCAGAAGCACCAGUCUGGUAGGUAUACCUGAUACAGUCUUGUAUGUUUAAGAACAGGGCAGGUCAUAAGAAAUGAAUCAUUAGGCAGUUUCAUCAUUUCUUGAAUAGCAUAGGGUGCAUUUAACCAAACCUAUAUGGCGUAGGUCAGUCACUCCUUGUUAUGGCCUAUAUGUAGUCAAGAGCUAUAGGAAGACAGGUGCCUCAAUGCACAUCUGUAAUCCCAGGGACUUGGGAGACUGAAACAAGAGGCUCACAUGUUCAAGGCCAGUCUAAGCAACUAAGUGAGAACCUGUUCCAAAAUAAAAUUAAAAUGUCUGAGGAUGUAGCUCAGUGGUAGAGCACCCUUGGGUUCGAUCCUCAGUAGUUCCAAAAAAAGAAAAGAAGUACAGUACAUAUUUUAGUCAGCAUUGUGUCACGGUGACAAAAAGACCCAAUAAUAACAACUUACAGGAGGGAAAGUUUAUUUUGGCUCAAGGAUUUGGAGAUUCAGUCAAUGAUCGGCCGAUUCUAUAUUUCUGGGCCUGAGGUAAGGCAAAACAUCAUGACAGAAAGGUGGGACAGAAGAAAGCUGCUCAGUUCAUGAUAGCCAAGAAACAGAUAGUCAGGGAGAGAGCAGGGAUGGAGGGAGCUCUUCUUACCAAAGACAAAAUAUAAACUACAAAUGUAUGCCCCCAGUGAUCUACUUCCUCCUACAUACUAUACCCUACACUCCUUACCACCCAUCAAAGAAUUCAAAUGGAUUAGUCCACUGAUUAGAUUACAGCUCUCUUAAUCUAAUAAUUUCACCUCUGAACAUUCCUAUAAUGUCUCACACAUAAGCUUUUGGGGAGGACAUCUUAUUCCAAACCAUAACAGGACAGUAAGUACGUAAACCAGUAAUUUAAUAAUUUAUUGUCAUUAUCAAGUAUGUGCUGAAUAUAAUUGUAUGUACUAUUUCUUUUCCUGUGGUGUGCUGGGGAUUAAACCCAGGGCCUCUCGCAUGCUAGACAAGUGCUCUACCACUGAGCUAUACCACCAACCCUGUUUAUUUUAUUUUGAGAUAGGGACUCAUUGAAUUUCCCAGGCUGGCCUAAAACUUACAAUCCUGCCUCAGCCUCCCAGCUAGUUGGGAUUACAGAUGCAUCACACCAUGCCUGGCUUGUACUGUACUUUUAUAUAAAUGGCAGAAAUAUAGAUUUAUUUCUACCAGCAUCCCCAUAUACAUGAGAAUAAUGCUUUGUUCUAUAAAAUUGCAAAAAGAAAAAGCUUUUCAGCUCUAUUACAAUUUUAUGGGACCACAGUCAUAUGUCCUAUCAUUGACUGAAACAUCAUUUAUUUGGUACAUGGCUAUGGUGGGAUCCAGGUUCAGAUUUAAUUUCAUUUAGAAAAAUACAGUAAUGUAGCAGAGUGUAUUGGCACAUGCCUAUAAUCCCAGCAACUUGGGAAGCUGAGACUUGAGGAUCACAAGUUUGAGGCCAGUCGCAGCCACUUAGCGAGCCCUUAGCAACUUAGUGAGACCCUGUCUGAAAAAAAAAAAAAAAUGGCUGAGGAUGUGGCUCAGUGGUAAAGCACCCCUGGAUUAAAUGCCCACUAUCAAAAAACUAAUUAAUUAUAAAAAAGUAAAAUACAGUAAUGUAGACAGAGGAGCCAGCACCAAGUCUAGGGUAUAUGAGCAAUGCCUUUAAAGUGAAGGAGUCUGAGCUGGGAGUCAGGUACAGGAUUAAGUUAAGUAGCAUGGAAGGCCAGAAGAUAGAGAUGAUAGAGACCUGGGGCAGACAUAAGGCUCAGGGUAGUAUAUAAAGGAACCAUCCUUUCUUAAACAUGAAACAAAAUUAAAAGACAUAGUGGAAAUGCUGAACAGAGUUAUGUAUAAUUUUAGUGAAUAAAUUACAUCAUAAUAGUCUGAGAGAAAAUAUUUUCUACAUAGAUUAAUUCUGAUUAACAUCCCAAACCCCUACUUAUCCAUAGCCAAAGGACAAAGAGACUAACAAUGUUUUGCCUGCCUCCAGCUUAUUUGUAGCCUAUAGAUUGGUGUGUCCAUUUAAUACAAGAAAAUGGAAACUGAAUGACCAGAUGAAAUCUUCCCCAACAUUGGAACCAAUGGCAUAUUUGGUAAUUGCCCUGUAGAAGACAGGAAAGAGGAAAAAGCAUUUAAAAGGUCUAAAAAGAGAGAUGAGAUGGUUGAAUUAUGCAUUCUGCUUCAGAGCAAGAAUGCUGGGCAGCAAUUGGAAAAGGAGGUGAUGCUAUUAAAGCUAAAAUAAUAUAUUAGACUAAAAUGCCAUUGUCUCAAUCCUAGACAGCAGUGGCCCCACGCACAUAUUGAAUAUCAGUGCUGAUAUUGAAAUAACUGGAGAAAUUUGGAAAAAAAUUAUCUCUUCCUUGGAAGAGGGCCUGCAGCUGCCAUCACCCACUGCAAUCUACCAUUCGAAUCUGCUAUGGAAUGUUUAAAGUACCUUUGACUACAAGUUGAGACAGUGAUUCUUCAGUCUGGGAGGAGGAAUUUUGGGGUCAAAGGUCUAAAAGAACUCUGAGGGAACACUAAGACAAAAAUCAAGUUUUUCCAGGAAUUCUGUCUUCAUUCCACUGACAGAGUUGUUCUAUUAGAGGAAAGCCUGAUAGGAUGAUAUAACACAUAAAGAUCAUCCUUGAUCUUAUAUCUGAAUCUCCCAUCAAAGGAUAUGCUCAGCCUUAUAAUCUCAAUUUUUAUGAUUCUGGUGUUUUUACAGUGAGUUUUGAUCACCACUCGGGAUGUCCUGUGGGAUUUCCCAUAUGGGAAAGAGGUAGUUUUGACAGAAUGGUCCCUGGUCAGGGUGGGUGGCCCAAUCCUCAUUCUAGAAGAGAAUAUGAUAUGAACCCUCAUCAAGAUCACCACCUCCUCCUCCUGGUGGAGGUGGUCUGGGUGGUAGCUGGUGUUGGAAUCUUCCUCUCCCAAGCUCUUAGAAAGGGAGACCUAAUGACCUAUGACAGGGAGGAAGACCUGGAGACUGCUAUGAUGGCAUAGUUUUCAGGGCAGAUGAACUUGGAACUCUGCAAUAGUUCUUAUGCAGGGAAUCAUGUUUUAUGUGGGAGAGAUACUGGGGAUUGAACCCAGGAGUGCUUUACUGCUAAACUAGGUCCCCAGCCCUUUUUAUUUUUGAGACAGGGUCUCACUGAAUUACUUAUGCCCUUGCUAUGUUGCUUGAACUUGUGAUCCUCCUGUCUCAGAUUCCAGAGUUGCUGGGUUUACAGGCAAUUGCCACUAUGCCUGGUUUAUAUGGUGAUCUUGGUGGACCUAUUAUUACAACAUAAAUAACUAUCACCAGAGAUUUGGCUAGACCUAUUAUUGGCAAAGGUGAUCAGUGUAUUAAACAAAUCCACCAUUAAUUAGGAACAUCAAUCAAAAUUGAUAAAACUUUAAAAGGAUCUGAAGAUGGGAGCAUUACCAUUUUAGGAACACAAGACCCAUACAGAAUGUAUCAUAUUUUCUGCAGAAUAGUGUGAAUCAGUAAGCAAAUGUUGAAGGAUUCUAAUGCAGGAUAAUUUGUGUGUGUGUGUGUGUGUGUGUGAGAGAGAGAGAGAGAGAGAGAGAGAGAGAGAGAGAGAGAGAGAGAGAAGCAGUAUUCUGGAACGUUUUUCUAAGACUAGUGACGAACUGAAGGAAUCCUACAAUCUUUUUAAAAACCUACUUUUGUUUAAAAAGGCAGUAGUCCUAUGAUUCACAGGCUCUCUGCAUUUGUGAUGCAGUGAAAUCUCUGCUGUUCACCCAGAUACAAUGUUUUAGUUCCUUCCAAACAUUGUUGGUAGAGGGAAAGGCAGGCAAAAACUUAACUUUGAAACAGCAGCAGAGAGAGUGAAUUUAAAUUUUUGUUCAUUGUUGGUGAUUUAACCUCCAACCCCUACCCCAUAAUUAUUGUGAGCACCUUACUUUGUGGUCUCUAUAAACGUUUGAGGGGAUGGGACAGGAAGGAAAGUAACAAUAGUCUACCUGUCCCUGGCAUCUGUUCAAAGCAGUGUGCAGAAUAUAAUGCUCUUUGGUAAGAAACAUUCUGACUUUUAAAAUAAAUUUAAUGAACCUAUAAAAAAGAGAGCAAAUUUAUAUGAUUAGGUAAAUAACAAAAGAAGAAAUACAGUUGACCAAUUAGCUUAUAGGAAAUACUCAACCUCAUUAGUAAUCAUUGAAAUGCCAACUUAAAGGAUAUACUAUACUAUCCACUAAGGUGAUAAUAAUUUAAAGAUUAUUACGUAUAUUGAUAAAUACUAUUUCCUUAAUAAAGAAUUUAUUUAUUUACUUACUUACUCAUUUGGAUGACUUGUCUGGAUUGAACCUGAGUCUCAUGCUUCCUAUUACUACUAAGCCAAACCCUAAUCCCAGUUCUCUAUCUUGAUUGAAUCCAGCUGUGAUAUCUCUUAGUCUUUUAAAAUCUGAACAGUCUGCCUUGUAAUCUUCAUAUUUUGGAAGAAAAUAGCCAGUUGCUUUGCAGAAUGCCCUUUACCUUGGGUUUGUCUUGUUUUUCCUAAUGCUUGGAUUCAGGCUAUACAUUUUUGGCAGGAAUAUCAUAAUGAAUGAAAUGAAACUUAGGGCCUCAAGGAUGCUAGGCAAGUGCUGUACCACUAAGCUAAGUCCCCAACCUUCUUGUUAUUUUAAAUAAUAUCACAUGAUCUACAUCUUUGUCUUCCUGUCUUUGUCUUCCCUUGCCCUAGUCAGUGUGAUUGGGUCAACAAUGAGCCAGUGCACAUUUGAUUCAGGAUUUUUGCCUAAACUAAAUAAAGGGAAAUUCUUUUCUGCUAUUCUUAUACCCCAGAGGUUCCUUGAGUUGCAGCAGCCAUAUUGGAACCAUAAGGGGAGAGUCAGUUUGGGAAUGAAGAAGCACAUGGAGAAAGAGAAAGGUCCCUAUAACAUUGUUGGACUGUCUCCAUCAAGCACAUUGAAAGCAAAACCAAUUCCUUGGACUUCUUAUUUAUCUGAAUAAAUAAAUCCUCUUGCUUAAAACAGGUUGUAUAGUUGUUGUUGUUAUUAUUAUUAUUAUUAUUAUUAUUAUUAUUAUCAUCAUCAUCAUCAUCAUCAUUUGGUCACAAACCAAAGAAUCUCCAUGAUAAGAUCGUGUACAUUAUUGAUAUUUUUUUGUAUGAAAAAGUCAGAUCAAAUAACCUGGACAUCUGAGCAGCAGAAAAUAAAAUAGUGAUAACAUUUGUAUUAAAAAAGUAAUUCAGAGAAAAGCUUCUACUUAUUUAUGUAUUUUUGGUACCAGGGAUUGGACCCAGGGGCAUAUAACCACUGAGCCACAUACCCAACCCUUUUUAUUUUUUAUUUUGAGACAGGGCCUCAUGAAGUUGCUUAGGGACUCCUAAGUGGCUAAGGCUGUCUUUGAACUUGUGAUCCUCCUCCCUCAGCCCCCCAAACCACUGGGAUUACAGGUGUGCACCACCACACUCAGCUGAAAAGCUUCUUUUUAGCCACAGAUUUAGUCUUUGACUACUCUGAUUUAAAAGUGAGCAUUUUUCUUGGCAGAGUUGCCUUAAUAGAAAACAGUGUUUCUCUAUAAUGUACAAAAAUUCUUUAGUAAGUUUAGGUGUUUGAUAGCCUAAAAUGGUAUUUACAGAACGAAUGGUUAGCAUUGAGGUUUAGUCUUCUGAAUUUCAUCAGGGAGUUUAAAAAAAAUAAAAAGCUCACUGUCCUUUCAGUUUUAAAUCAGGAAACAGAAUUCUACAAUCCCAUAUUUUGUCACUAAUCUAGGUUUUCUGUUCAUUUUACCUGUAAGAAAGUGAGGUUCAGAAGAAUAUAUUUGUUUAUCCUAAGCUAUGACCUGGGCCUAAGACCCAGGACUUAGCAGAUGCCUGACAAACUGUAGUUGAAUAAAUGGAAAAAGCAAUGGAAUUACUAUAGUGACUAGCCAUAGUUCCUUCUGUUUGUCUGGCCCUAACUGUUAUAGUUUGGAUCUGGAAUGUUUCUCAAAGGCUCCUCUCUGGAAGGCUUGAUCCCCAGCUGAUAGUAUUGGGAGGUGGUGGAAAGUUGAGAAGGUGGGGCCUAGUUGAAAUAAUUAGGUCAGUGGGGGAUGCCCUUGAAGGUCAUAUCUUGUCUGAGUCUCUUUCCUUUUCCUCUUUUUCUCUCUUCCUUUCCUGUGUGUCAAGAGGUAAGAGUCCUUUUCUGCUCCCUCGUUCCCACUGCCAUGGGCAUUCUGCCUCAUUUUAGACCCAAAGCAAUGCAGUCAACUGACCAUGACUGAAAUCUCUGAAAUCAUACAUCAAAAUAAAUAUUUCUUCCUUUUAAGUUGUUCAUCUCAGGUAUUAUGUUACAGAGAUAAAAACCUGAGUAACUCACUAGCCAUUGGGUUUCACCAACCCACCAUUUGCUUUUUCCACCAUUUGCUACUUCCACCAUUUGCUUUAGCACAGAUUUUCACUAGUGUUGGCUUCCCAGGUCUUGCCUGAUACAGAUUCUAUGACACAUUGAUAUCUAACAAGUUCAUCCUCUCCUUUUCAGGGAACAGUGCCAUAGGAACCAACCAACUUUAUUAUGAUAUCUCUCUCUCUCUCUCUCUCUCUCAACCCAGAGUACUUAACCUCUGAGCCAUAUGUGUGUGUGUGUGUGUGUGUG